GUAACAAGGAAAUCUUGGAGCAAAGAGACGCCGAGUGGCUCGUGUUGUGCGGUUUGGAUAUCUGCUGCAAUGCGAACGUUGUGUGUACUAUUGCAAAAUAGCGGAUCUCCCCGGUUAGGAUACAGACCACAACGCUUUGGACGUAUCUUUAAAAAAGAGAAAAAUCAGAGACUUUUUGGAUUUGUCUGGGGACAUUUUAAACAUUUUGUGUCAAAUUGGAUUUAAAACAUUUCGGAUACUGGAUACCUAGUUUGAUUUGUCCACAGAUCUUGUUUAAGACGUUUUCACCUCAUUUUAGGGUUUAUUUUUAAUUAAAGGCUUCUUAAAACAUGUAUGAAAAUGUGUAUAUUAUACAAUGAGUCUUAUAUUGUCUGCUCUGACAAAAAUAAAUUAUUAUUUUAGAUCUUA